rnacentral:lncRNA from 1 species
GCUAUUCUCCCUUCCCUCAAAACCAAAGACUCUCAUCUUUCCCCUUUCUCCCUUCUCCUCUAUCCACCAUAUCCAAAAUUAAAACCUAAACCCUAGCAGACCCCUACCCAGACAAACUGUAACUACUCCCCUGUGCAACCCAUCUCCCCCGCCCCAAAAAUUCAUUGAACCUCUCCUCUUCCCUUCUCUUUUCUCAUCUUUCUCCCCCAAGUUAGAAGCCCUAGUGUCGCGUCACCGCCAUCCCUAGUCAUAGUAUCCAAAAUUUCAUCAAAUCCAUCAUCCAUCAACCUGUGACUCCACUGUGACAGGAAAAUCAGGCGUCAUUUUGGUGCAAAAAAUUCAAAAUUUUGUUCAAAUCCAUCAUGAUAGCUCUAAAAAGGUUAAAAACUCAGAGAUUCGGGUUUCAAAUCUGGAUCUCUCUUCAUUCUCAUUCUCUUUCUAAAAUUUUUGUUUCAAGGUGUUCUUCAGCCCCCAAAUGGGGAAAAAGAGAAUUGGGGAAAAAGCCUGGAAGUGGAGGAAAAAGGCAUCAACAAGUCAAAAAGAGAGAAAAAUAGCGAAAACAAGGGCAAGUCGGAAGGGGUCAUGAAAGUUACGAGUUUCUGUUGUUGUUUUCAGUCUAAGUUUGAAUUUUGGAGUUUGAGUUUGGUGGCCGGAACACUCGACGAAAAGCUUCGAUUUGCUGCCCAAAACAACGUAGGAACCAAUUCUUUCAUUCGCUUUCAUCUCUCUUCUUUUUGCCUACUCUUAACUGUAUGAAUAUAUGGCCUGCUUCGGUUAAAGUUUGGAUGUGGUUUUUCUUAUCGUUUUUCACCAAUUGUGUUUAAAUUUUAUUUGGAUUUGGGGACUGUUGGAAGCAAAAUAGAUUGAAAAUUGCCAUGUUUUCUUGUAUUCCCCUGUUUGGAUGUGUGUAUGUGUAUAUAUAUGUGUAUGUGUUGCUUAUCUCAUUUUGAUAUUAUUGUUGACUACCCCGAAUCAAAUAUGGGUUUGUUUUAAGUUUAUGUGGUUUCAAUGCAUGUGAAUACUUUGUGUAACGCUAGACAUGAGAAUUUACAGAAGACUAUGUCGCUCGUUAGAUUUUGUUUUCCCUUCGGUACUUUUUUUUGAGUGCCUUCUUGUUAUAUUAUGUUUAUUAAGAAGUAUAUGAGCCACCUAGUAUUGUUUUGAACGUGACUAAAGGGGCUACCUAUCUUUCAAGUUUCUUCAAAGUAUUGUUUACUAUAGGUUGACCUAAAAAAUAUUUAGGAGUUGAUUUAGCCGAGUCGCGUGAAUUUUCUUUGGUUGGUUAUGUUUUAAGGGAAUAUCGACUAUCAUUGUUUAAAUUUUAAAUUUCUCUUACUUCAUAGAACUUGAGCUUCACAAGUGAGAAAGUUGUAGUUUGUUUUGCAAUACAGAUAUCGUAUAAAUAACUUUGAAUUCCUCGUUGUUUGAUGCAUUCCAAGGAUUGCCCCUAUGUAUAUUGCUCUGUAUUUUUCAAAUAUGAUAAAUUUUAGGAUCUUUGAUUAAGUUUGAGUUACAUAAAAACACAAAACUCAAAGUUUGUUCUAAACUCUUUUGGGUUAUACCUCAUCUUUGGAUAAAUCAAGGGGUUAUCCUCGUGACCUUAGCUUGGAUCUUUGUUGCCAUUGUAAUUACUUAUAUGUGUUGUAUUAUUGGGGUUGUUGUUCAUUAUCGGUAGAUCAGAUUCAAGAUUUUGGUUUUGUUUUCAAUUUUUUAUUUUCAAAUAGGGAUCUUCAUGUUUAGAAGCUAUGUGAAUUGAAAGGAAAAUCAGUCCUUUGGUUCACCUUCGGUUACUUCUUUCGCCAUCUGUUCUUGAUUUCGAAAAGAUGAAAUUAGCUUUGUUUUAAGUGGUGUUACUCUUUCUUAAUCCCAAAAUUAGUUUUCGUAUUAUGGUUUUGUCUUCACUUGCUUUGGUUAUUCUUCUAAUAUUGAGUAAGUUUGAUUGAAAUAUAAAAGGAAAAUGUUAUUCUUAAUUGUCUUGUUUUCAGUUAAUGUAUGAAGCCUUUAUUCUUUUUUAUUUCUUACAAUUUGAAAUAAAUAUCAAGGUUAUGCAUUUAUGUGCUUAAUGUUAUGUUGUACUUAAAGUUAAAUAUUCGUGUGUUUCGGUGGUAUAUAUUUUCUUUAGCUUACAUUCUUAUACAAUAAAUUAGCUUGGUUCCUAAUCUUUUCCUUUUUUUUGUCUCAUGUGAACUCGGGAGUUGGAGUUUUAAUUGAAACUCCAUUUCGAUACAAAUAUCAGGCCAACCUGUACUAGGAUCGCAACAGUUCGUGGUCUUGUAGAUUAAGCGUUCAAACUCUAUUAGGAGUCUAGUAUCUCUUAGCCACCCUUCUCUUUUAUUUUAUUAUUCUUUUUAUGUUGUUAGUCUUUUUGGAACUUGAAUUGGUAAUUAGUUGUUGUUGUUAUUAUUACCGUAUUUAAGUUAUAUUAUUUACUUAUUGUACUUAUAUCGCUUUAAUGUCUGCAAAAUUUCUUUAAAAAAUAGAUUAAUAUACUCAUGUUUUCGAAAUUAACACAUUAUGACUAACUCGUAAAGAUAGAUUUUACUUUCAAAAGGGCUUUGGCAAUUUUAGUGUUUAACUAACUUUUUUUUACUAAUUAUUUACCAUGGAAUAUUUUUUUCUUAAUAAAAUAAAUGUCACAAUCCUUUAGGACAAUGAGAAUCUUAAUACUAUUGUGGAAUGACGACAAGAAAGGAGCCUAUUCAUCAAUUUCGGCUUAAUCGUACUAACAUUUUACUUUUAUACGUCUUGUCAACAUUAAAUUUAAUCUCUCAAAUUUUGAAGCCCUCUAAAACGCAAGGUAUAUCAUGUACUUACGCUACCACAUGCAAGGUAUACUCUACAAUUAUCAUUAUUAUUUUUAUUAUCAUUACUUUACUGUAACUACUAUUGAUAUUAUUAUUACUAUACUUCAUAUGGAAUUCAGAUCCCUCAAGUACUACUACAUUUAUUUUUAUCUAUUGAAGCCUCACAAGUCAAAUAAGUUUUCAUAUCUUUUCCAUAUAUUUCUGAAUAUAUACAUAUAUUCAUGAUCAUUUUAAAUAAGUUCUUCCACCUUUUAAAAGUAUAUUUUCCUUCGCU